GGUCAAGCUACUAAAGGUUUAUGAAGGAUGACUAGGUCAAAUUAGGCGAUGAAGGACGCGGUAAGCGGCGAUAUUGCCCGGGGGAGCUGCAAACAAGCUUUGAUCCCGGGAUUUCCGAAUGGGGAAACCCUUCUUGAGUUAUAUCAGGAAAUCCUGAUCUGAAAUUCAAAAUAGGAUUAGGAAGCGAUACCCGGAGAAUUGAAACAUCUAAGUAACCGGAGGAAAAGAAAACACCGUGAUUCCCCCAGUAGCGGCGAGCGAAAAGGGAAGAGCCUAAACCCAGCACUUAGCAAUAAGUGCCGGGGGUUGCGGGACCUUAAUGUGGUAGAUGGAUAGACAGCAGAAGUGCCUGGAAAGGCAUGCCAAAGAGAGUGAAAGCCUCGUAUGUAUAAUCUUGAAGUCGCCUAAAGGUAUCCCAAGUACUACGGGACACGGGAAACCCUGUAGGAAUCUGGGCCGACCAUGGCCUAAGGCUAAAUACUAAAUUUGGACCGAUAGUGCACAAGUACCGUGAGGGAAAGUUGAAAAGAACCCCGGGAGGGGAGUGAAAUAGAACCUGAAAUCAUAAACUAACAAGCGGUCCGAGCUCUAUGAGUUUUGGCGUAAGCCAAAGCCACGAGUGAGGGCGUACCUUUUGCAUAAUGAACCGGCGAGUUAUUAUAUGGUGCGAGCUUAAGGCCGUCAUGGCUGUAGGCGUAGCGAAAGCGAGUCUGAAUAGGGCGCAUUAGUACCAUAUAACAGACCCGAAACUAAGUGAUCUAUCCAUGGCCAGAGUGAAGUCCCGAGAAAUCGGGAUGGAGGCUCGAACCCGUCAGCGUUGAAAAACUGUGGGAUGAGUUGUGGAUCGGAGCGAAAGACUAAUCAAACUUAGCAAUUGCUGGUUCUCCCCGAAAUAGUUUUAGGACUAGCCUCGUAAAAUGGAUGAUGGGGGUAGAGUACUGAAUGGGCUAGGGACCUUACCAGGUUGCCAAACCCAACCAAACUUCGAAUACCAUCACACCUUAUUACGGGAGUCAGACUACGAGGGAUAAGCUUCGUGGUCGCGAGGGAAACAGCCCAGAUCGCCAGAUAAGGUCCCAAAAUAUAGUCUAAGUGGUAAAGGAUGUGAAUUCACUUUGACAACCAGGAUGUUGGCUCAGAGGCAGCCAUCAUUUAAAGAGUGCGUAACAGCUCACUGGUCGAGUGAUUUCGCGCCGAAGAUGAACGGGGCUAAAGGCUAUUACCGAAUCUGCGACUUUUAUCGUAUUUAUACGACAAAGGGGUAGGGGAGCGUUCUGCAGUAGGUUGAAGGUGUACCGUAAGGAGCACUGGACGAAACAGAAGUGAGUAUGCCGGUAUGAGUAGCGAAAAUCACGGCGAGAAACCGUGACGCCGAAAAUCUAAGGUUUCCUGGGGAAGGUUAAUCCGCCCAGGGUUAGUCGAUCCUAAGUCGAGGCCGAAAGGCGUAGGCGAUGGAUAGUCUGUUAAUAUUCAGACACUGGUUUAAGGGCGUUUUACUUGAAGAAUUGACGCAGUAAGCUAAGCGUGCGAAGUGUUGGAUGUCUUCGUUCGUGCCUAUAGCUUCGAUGUAAAAGUCGGAGGGAGGGGUGCGGGGAUCCUGCGCUAUGGCAAAGGAGAAGUCGCUCAACACUACACUGCCGAGAAAAUUUUCUUCAAGGAGUUCUUGAACCAAUCGUACCGUAAUCCGACACAGGUAGAUAACCAUAGAAUGGUAAGGCGCUCGAGCUAACUCUCGUUAAGGAACUCGGCAAUCUAGCCCCGUAACUUCGGGAGAAGGGGUGCCAUUGAUAGUGAAGAGAUUUACUCUUGGAGCUGUUAAUGGCCACAGUAAAGUGGCCCGUGUGACUGUUUAGCAAAAACACAUCUCUCUGCAAAGUCGUAAGACGACGUAUAGGGAGUGACACCUGCCCGGUGCUGGAAGGUUAAGAGGAAGGGUUAGCCGCAAGGCAAAGCUUUGAAUCGAAGCCCCAGUAAACGGCGGCCGUAACUAUAACGGUCCUAAGGUAGCGAAAUUCCUUGUGGGGUAAGUUCCCACGCGCACGAAUGGUGUAACAACAUGGGCGCUGUCUCAACGAGAGACUCGGCGAAAUUGUAGUGGCGGUGAAGAUGCCGUCUACCCGCAGCAAGACGAAAAGACCCCGGAACCUUUACUGUAUUCUGGUAUUGAAUUUUGGUCCAAUUUGUGUAGCAUAGGUGGGAGGCUUUGAAGCCCCGACGCUAGUUGGGGCAGAGCCACAAUGUGAAAUACCACCCUCAUUGUACUAAGAUUCUAACUGCGCGCCGUGAAUCCGGCCGCAGAACAGUGCCAGAUGGUCAGUUUGACUGGGGCGGUUCCCUCCUAAAUUGUAACGGCGGGGCCCAAUGGUUCCCUCAGGCUGGUCGGCAAUCAGCCGUUGAGUGUAAGAGCAAAAGGGAGCUUAACUGCGAGUCCGACAGGACAAGCAGAUGCGAAAGCAGGGUUUAGUGAUCCGGUGGUUGAAUAUGGGAUUGCCAUCGCUCAACGAAUAAUAGGUACUCCGGGGAUAACAGGCUUAUAGCGCUCGAGAGUUCAUAUCGACAGCGCUGUUUGGCACCUCGAUGUCGGCUCUUCCUAUCCUGGGGCUGGAUAAGGUCCCAAGGGUCCGGCUGUUCGCCGGUUAAAAGGGUACGCGAGCUGGGUUCAGAACGUCGUGAGACAGUUCGGUCUCUAUCUGCUGUGGGCGUCAAGAUACUUAAAGAGGAGCUCUCCUUAGUACGAGAGGACCAGGAGAGACGAACCUCUGGUGUUCCAGUUGUCCUGCCAAGGGCAAAGGCUGGGUAGCUAUGUUCGGAAGGGAUAAGCGCUGAAGGCAUAUAAGCGCCAAGCCCACCUCAAGAACAGGUAUCUCUUCCGUCGCAAGACGGAUAUAGGCUGGUCGUAGACUACGACCUUGAUAGGCGCAAAGUGUAAGACUCGCAAGAGUUUUAGCUAAUGCGUACUAAUCUGCCAAUCGGCUUGGCCAC
rnacentral:rRNA from 1 species